AGUCUGCAACUCGACUCCAUGAAGUCGGAAUCGCUAGUAAUCGUGGAUCAGAAUGCCACGGUGAAUACGUUCCCGGGCCUUGUACACACCGCCCGUCACACCAUGGGAGUGGGUUGCAAAAGAAGUAGGUAGCUUAACCUUCGGGAGGGCGCUUACCACUUUGUGAUCCAUGACCUGGGG
rnacentral:rRNA from 1 species